UUUCAAUUAACGUACCCGAAUGCACUUACAUAAGUGACUUACACAAUAUUGCUAUCGUUGUCCAAUACUAAAAAUGGAUGAUACCUCGAAGGUUCACAACUUCGCUUGAACAUUUCAUGAACGAGAUCAGUCUGCACAGAGAGUUCCGAGAAAAAUUCCGUCACUGCUGCGUAAUGCGAUUCACGAAUCAAAAGGCUGUAUAAUGAGAAAGAAGCUGCAUGUGCGAUGAUUAAGCCGACGCGACGUUAUCGGCCAAAGUUGUCUGAAGGUGAAAAAACCGGUCUGUAUAAUGGUGCGACCACUUUUGAUUUUUUCGAUGAAAUAAAACGUAAAUAAUUAUAUUAAAAAUGUCAUCCUAUAUAACAUAUCCGCUUUGCGCGUCUUUGAAAAGCCUUCAAGAUAUUGGACGUUGCUGGAACUCUGUGAUACAAGACGUGAGAUCCGCUGGAGAUGUAGUGAAGAAAAUUUGAAUACGGCAUCAAAGGAUUUUCCGUUUCUCGAUUAUUACGCAUUGAUAAUCAUAUAAGGUGUAAACUCGUCUUCGCGGCAACCCCGGCUGUAAUUGAGGAAAACGUGGUUAUUCUUGGCUGCCUUUUGUAUAAAAGGAAUUAAACAACUUUGGGAUCGUUUCAGUUUGAAACCAGUUCCAAGAGACGACAACAGCUGAAAUACUGUACUUAUUUUAAUUAUUAUCAUUCACUAUAUCAUAACAGGAAAGGCCCGUACACGAUGUUACUUAUACUUGUACAUAAUAUAUAUGUAUUCAUUUCGUGCCUAAAUUUCGUGUUUCAGUAGCAACGGCAGAUGAAUGUGAGAACUAUUUCCAGUUUCAUCAGAUAAACUAUGUUUCUUACAACUAUUUACACUUAAAAAUAUUUUAAUAUAAGAUUUUCUACGCAAAACAUAUCGUAUAUACGCAUCAGUUAACAAGACAUUACUCUUACGCCUUGUGUAACAAGAAGUGUAUGCCAUUAUAGCAGUCGCAUUACCAGAUACAACAAUAAGUAAAUACAGAUGGAAAUAACGAGGCAAGAUAUGCACUAUCGGUUAAGAUACUUGAAAACAAGGAAAAGCUGUCCGCGUUCAUUUUUCUCCAAUAAAA